ACUUUACCGAAGACGACAAUGAGGGCCGAAACGAGUUCCCCACCCAAUGGGUCAUCAUCUUCCUCGAUCAAAGAAAAUUCAACUAUUCCAAUGUAUGAAUCAAACAAGCGACCGAAACAACCUCCCCCGUGGAUACUUCGACAGCAACAACGCUGACUCCAUCCUUGGCCGCAAUCCUACAUAAAUCUUCGAGCUCUUCCGCUGCUCCGGGUUCGGAUGAAA